CCUACGAGAUGCAGCAGUGGGGAAUAUUGCGCAAUGGGCGAAAGCCUGACGCAGCGACGCCGCGUGAGGGAUGAAGGUCUUCGGAUCGUAAACCUCUGUAAGCAGGGAAGAACGGUCACUGUGCUAAUCAGCAGUGAAUUGACGGUACCUGCAAAGGAAGCAUCGGCUAACUCCGUGCCAGCCGCCGCGGUAAUCCGGAGGAUGCGAGCGUUAACCGGAUUUAUUGGGGUUAAAGGGUGCGCAGGCCGGUUUUUAAGUCAGCGGUCAAAUCGUGGGGCUCAACCCCAUCCAGCCGUUGAAACUGGGGUUCUAGAGUGUGCGAGAGGUAUGCGGAAUGCGUGGGGGAGCGGUGAAAUGCAGAGAGAUCACGCAGAACCCCGAUUGCGAAGGCAGCAUACCGGUGCACAACUGACGCUCAGGCACGAAAGCGUGGGUAUCGAACAGGAUUAGAUACCCCGGUAGUC
rnacentral:rRNA from 1 species